UUUGCAGUACAGACUGCAGUUAUACAUUUAUAACUCAAUAGUGUUAUGAGGGCCAUACCUAUCACCAUAUCGUGACAUUUAAUUUUUUAAAAAUUAUUAGUGCAUACUUAACGUUAAAGAAAAACGAGACACCCCGCCCCGUCUCGGAACGCGCAGGGCGACGGCGGCCGGGGUGGGGGUGCGCGUGUGUGCCCUGGGCCCGGGCCCCCCAGGAGCCAUAAUCCUGGAGGGACCCGCUCCCAGGAGUCAUGUCCCUGCGCCCCGCCCCCCGGGAGACAUAAUCCCUGCGCCCCGGCCGGGCCCCUAGGAACCGUGUCUACAAAGUCCCGGGGGCCGGUGUGGCAGGUGCUGGGCUCACUCCGGGAGGCGGCAGGCGCCGCGAGCCCCUUCCCGCAGGGGCGCCUGUGCCGCGGACCGGCGGCCGGGGAUGGCGGGGAUCGCGGGGGACAGGAGCGCAGCGGACAGAGAGGCCUGGGCGCCGCCGGUUCAUGUUGCUGUUUACGCUGCGGGCGCGCAGUGCCCCCUGCCUGCCCGCCAGCCCGCUGCUCCCCCGCCCGCUCCAACACGCCCUCAGUGCGCCUGCCGCUGCGCCCCCGAGCGCUAGACCGCGCGGCCGCCAUGGGGAAUGGGAUGAACAAGAUCCUGUCUGGCCUGUAUAUCGGCAACUUCAAAGAUGCCAGAGAAAAACAAGGUGACACACAUUCUGUCUCUGCACGACAGCGCCAGGCCAACAUUGGAGGGGGUUAAAUACCUGUGCAUACCAGCAGCGGAUUCACCAUCUCAAAACCUGACAAGACAUUUCAAAGAAAGUAUUAAAUUCAUCCACGAGUGCCGCCUGCGAGGUGAGGGCUGCCUUGUUCACUGCCUGGCCGGCGUCUGCAGGAGCGUGACUCUGGUGGUUGCAUGCAUCAUGACGGUCACCGACUUCGGCUGGGAAGAUGCCCUGUGCACUGUGCGUGCAGGGAGGUCCUGUGCAAACCCCAACCUGGGCUUCCAGAGGCAGCUCCAGGAGUUUGAGGAGCACCAGGUCCAUCACUUCUGCCAGUGGCUGAAGGAGGAGUACGGAGAGAGCCCUUUGCGGGAUGCAGAAGAAGCCAGAGGCAUUCUGGCCACCCCAGGGAUUCUGAAGUACUGGGCCACUCUCAGAAGACUGUAAUGUACCUGAAAUAUUGCAAAGCCAGAGUUUAGGUGCUGCCCAGAAGAAUAGCAGACAGAGUUUAGGUGCUGCCCAGAAGAAAAGCAACCAGAGUUCAUUUUUCAGUGUCCAGAAGUAAUUUGUGAACUCGCCUGUUUUCAUUUUAAACAAUAUAUAUGCAAUUGUGUCAUCAAAAAAAAGAAAAAGAGAAAACUGGGCUUUAAAUGUUAUGUUUUUAAGGUAUGAGUAACCCAUUCAUUCGGUAGGCAAGGGAAGCUGUUUACCAAUGGUGAGUUAAUUUCUCUGGAAGAAACGUGUGCAGAAGAAGUCAUUGCACCUUCUGUGAUGU